GAAAGAAUGGGCCCUUGUUUCAAUGGGCAGCCCUUUAACAGCAAACAUAAGUGAGGCCAGCUAUGGGGGUGGGGUGAACACAUGUCAGGCAGGCUUUGGAGGGAAAUGACAGCCACUCCUUCUAGGUAGGAGGGAAAACGUGCAAGUGAAAGAUCAACAAGAAGAACGCAGACCAGAGGAGUGGAAUGAUAUCGAGGAAGUCUAAAACUAAGCAAAAGCAGGCACCAGAGCCAUCGCAACAUCAUUUCUUGGUUCCCUGACACCACCAGGGCACUACUGCCCAGGGGAUGGAAGAGGGAAACCGCCUUCGCAAGCAGGAUUUCACUUUAAAAACCUCUGUAGCAAAAUAAGAGACUUACAAACCAGA